AGCUGUCCGACCUGUUCCGUCAGCUUUCAAACAUUGCAACACGGCCAUGGUGACGGGAGGAAGCUGCUCUCAGCUUCACUAGCUAUCCCGACUCCUGGAAGGCGGCACUGGGGAGGUUCUCUGCCGUGAGAAACGAGUCGGGGGGGGUCGCAAGAAGGCUCCGGUAAUCGGCUCCGGCCGAGAAGAGAAGUAGUCCUCAUUAUGGAAGCUAGUACUGCAACAGACGAAAAUUUCAACACAACAUUACCGACAAGAUCGCCUCAAGAAGUUCUUUAUCAGAGUUCUGGAGCUAUUGUAGCUGUUAUUGUAAUUGGAAUAAUUAUCAUAUUCACCCUGGUCCUGUUCUUUUUGAAACACUACAACAGACAAAAUAGGUUGAAAAGAGAUCUGGCACCAAAAUCAUCAAGGUAUCCCUCACUCCCACCUCUAUCUACAAACGUAACUGACAGCAGACCAACGUCACUGGUUUCUGUUUCAUCGAAUAUCCCGCUGGAAAGAAAACAUUAGCAGGACUCGAAUGAUGCCUGGGCAGAAAUGUACUUUUACAGACUUGGAACAUUGGACCACAGACUUCUGGGAGAAAUGUACUGCUGUCACUGCUAACAUGAUGCACUAUCUGGGGAAUUCUCACCGCUGAGUUCACAUCUCUCGUUACUGCAGAUAGCAGAAGUUUCAAAGAAAGUUAUGUUGAUUUUUUUUGACUGAUGCUUGGGAUCUCAAACUUCAAGAAAACUGUGUUCAAAAGGCUUAAAGUUUUUUUUCACUUUAAGUAGAGGAAAAUAUGGAUAGUCCUCACAGACUUUGAAUGCAGUAUGAAAAUUCAACUUUAAGAAAUGCCAUUUAUGGCCCUCUGGAACUCAUCCUUUUUCUUGGACUCUUGAAGUUUUCAACACCGUCUCUGAAAACUCCAGUGAUUUUGUGUAUGCUCUGAUGCUUGGUAAAUUAUUCCAAAUAUAAAGUAGCUCUUCACAGAAAUGCAUGAAUGUUCUCAUUAGCUUUGAGAAGCUUGAAAGGAAACCUCAAAAAAAAAAUAGUGAUUGGUUUAUUCUUGUCACGUGUAGCAAGAUGCGGGAAAGAACUUAGUUUUGUGUGUCAUCUGGAUGGAUCAUUCUGAAACAUAAAUACUGUACGUCAUGUUUGUACAAAGGGAAAAGAUGAGUGCAAAGUUUAGUGUGGUUGAUAUAUUAGUUCUAAACUGUUCUAUAGUUACACGUUCAUUAGCUCACGACACCUGCACAUGGCAAGUGGCAUAUAAAUUUAGUAGUAACAGAUGAGCUGUUACUGCCAGUGUUGCUUCAUUUAAAUGUUGCCUCUCUCAGCUUAGUUUCAUUGUUUUGUGUCUGUGAUUUCUCUUGAUUAUGUGCAAUACUUCACAUUUAUCAGUGUUAAAUUUUCCUUGCUGCUUUUCCCUUCAUAAUCAUUGAUAAAAUUUUAGGUUUUUGUUGUCAUCAAAUGUAUCAAAAUUAUAGUUGUUUAUGGUAAUUGGAUUAUCUAGCUAAUUGGAACACUAAAUCUUGGAGAUUUCUAAUUGACAUUUCUUCUGUCGUGGUUUUCCAAUUUCCCUUAACCAUGUUUUGAGAUAGAUUCUUGUUCUAUCUGCAAACGUACAUCUUUGGAGUUUAAUUAGAACCCAUUUUUCCCAAAGUUUUAUGGAGACUGGAUAAAUUUGGGUUGUGUUCUCUGAGAUGAUGGAGGCUUGAGAGGAGAUCUGAUAGAUGUUCCUAGGGUUAUGAGAGGCAUGGACAGCCUGUAUCUUUUUCUCUCAGGGUCGAAAUGAAUAAUACCACAGGGCAUGCAUUUAAGGUGAGAGGAAGUAAACCUCAUUGAGGUGUGCAGGGCAAGUUUUAUACACCGAAUGGUGGGUGUCUGGAAAUACAUUUCCUGGGGUGGUGUUGGAGGCAAAUAAGAGAGGCAUCAAGGAGGCUCUUAGAAAGGCUUGUGAAUGGAAGACUAUGGAUAGAGGGAAUUAGCUUAGCUGGGCAUUUAAUUACUAAUGUAAUUAGUUCAGCACAAGAUUGUAGGCUGAAGGACCUGUUCCUGUGCUGGACUCUUCUAUGUUCUACUGAGCUAAUCUACAUCAAGAGAUUUCUGACAGCUACACUACUUGAUAUGAAAAGUCGUCAAAGAGAUCUUUACUUUUUAAAUCCAUGCUGGUUGUAUCCUGUUACUACCUAAGAGCUGCUCACUGUCCAUUACCCUGCUGGAGUGCAGGGCAGCAAUGAAGGUCCUCCACACCUGUCUGUCCAUACGUUCGCACAGAGAUAUUGAAGGAGUCCUUAUUGCUGUUUCUGUAACAAGACAAUUUUAAACCAGUCAGGAUUGUUAGCCCUGAGGUGAACCCCUGACCCUGAAGGACCAGUGGACCACUCUUAGUCUGGUCCUGUCCUUUGAACUGUUUGGCAUGGGUGACCCUACCAAGAGCCAAAGCAUAAAACCCUGACUCUAGCCAACUGAUGCACCAUCAAUAACUCUCCGAGACAUGAGGUGAGAUAUCGGCUUUUAUUGGCUGGAAGAAAGAACAAGCAGCAAUUGACCACCACACUACAUCCUGGAGACUGAGAGGCAGGGCCCAGGCUCCAAUUGCCUUUAUACCGGGGUCAGUGGGAGGAGCCACAGGAGCAGUCAGCAGGGGGCAUGCCCAGACAGGUAUAUGUAGUUCACCACACCAACAUAGCUCUCUGGGUCAGUGAGGCAGCUCGCACAAAGCCUCCAAACCCUACGACAAAGUUGUGGUCCUCUUGGAGGAUCUAAGGGCUAUGUUUCCAUCUUAACUCUUGAAAAAGUGUAUUAUUUUGCUGACGUUACACUUACGACCCCAGGAGGCCUAUUCCUGUCCUGCUCCUUGUUCUAGAUUUAAUAUUCCAAUUCACUUUCAGUAAGAAGUUGUGACUCGCAAGCAAGAAUUGUAAACAGUCCUGCCACAGAUGUACUUCCUGUCAAAUAAUUUAAUUUGAUAAAAACUCAAGUUGAAAACAUUUUCGGUUGUGUGUUUCACCAACUGACUGCUUUGCGGAAAAGGCUAUACACACGGAAUCAACAUCAUGUCGAAAUGAUCACGGUUUUUUACGUCUUAGUUUCAAUCGUUAAACGUUAGGGCCAAUUUACAUCUGCAGGUGAUUAAUUUUUCCUUCUUGGCUAGUUGUCUCUGAGACUACAUCAUAUCUGUGGACAAUGAAAGAGAUUAGUGGAGAACACACAGCCAAAGGAAAUGAAAGCAGUCACUCUGACGACAUAUUAGUAUACUUACAGAAGGCUGCUCUGAAUCGAAUAGUUUAUUUAUUUAUUUUUUCAUGUGAAUUCAUAUGUAAAGUUAGAAUAUAGUGAUGACUAAUAUGAUUGAUUAUAAAAUUUUUCUGAUUUUUAUUUUUUUAUUUGACAUAUCAGAAAAAGCAUUAGCAGGGCCUUCUGCACAGAGGGAGAAGAAGCCUGAAGUGUCAGGAUUAGCCUGAGGUGCAUUCACGCAGAGCACAGACAGCCCUGUUCAGACUAAAUUGGUUCUUGGCUGAAGAGAACCUCAGGAAGAAAAAGCAGUAAAAUAAUUAACUUAAAUGCACGUUUCAUUUUCUGUUAAGAUGUAACACUCAAUUGUUAUAGCAAACAUGAUCUUAAAAACUUUGGAGUUUAACAUGAAGUUGUGAAGGGAAUAUUCAUUGUUUACAUUUAAAAUACUACAUUGAAAGAUCAAGUUACAUCGUUUUUGCAGUAAUAUUAUUGUUGUACAGAUUGUUGAUAGACUGCUGAAUCUGAAUGUCAGAUAUGUAAUGUGUCUUUUAUGCUGUUCACAAUAAACUUUUU